rfam:Magnaporthe oryzae 70-15 chromosome 5, whole genome shotgun sequence.
GGUCCCAUAGCUCAGUUGGUUAGAGCGUCGUACUAAUAUGUUGUCCCUGUGAUGGCAUAUCAAGUAAUUGAGUGUAUGCGAAGGCCGAGAGUUCGACCCUCUCUGGGACCA